CUUGACUAGAAAAGUAUGAUGUUGUCAGAGGAUGAUGAAAUUUGAGAAUGUUUCUAUUUUAGGGCGGUUGCAUGCAACUGUAGAGGAAUGGAUAUAAAUAAAUUAAGUUAGAUAUGUAUGGUUAUGUAUUUAACAGAAUUUUGUUGAAGAUCCUCGUUUAGGAGUAGAAUGCAGACUAUUGUUAUAGAAAGUCCAGUUUGUCAAAUGUGAUCUCAGAAACCAU
rnacentral:lncRNA from 1 species